rnacentral:rRNA from 1 species
GAUGAACGCUAGCGGCAGGCUUAAUACAUGCAAGUCAAGGGGGUAGCAAUACAACCGGCGCACGGGUGAGUAACGCGUACACAACAUACCAUAUACUGGGGUAUAGCUUUGGGAAACUGAAGGUAAUCCCCCAUAACAUUGCGAGAGGGCAUCUGAUUGCAAUUAAAGUUUCGACGGUAUAUGAUUGGUGUGCGUUUGAUUAGCUAGUUGGUAGGGUAACGGCCUACCAAGGCAACGAUCAAUAGCUGGCGUGAGAGCGCGACCAGCCACACUGGAACUGAGACACGGUCCAGACUCCUACGGGAGGCAGCAGUAGGGAAUAUUGGACAAUGGGCGAAAGCCUGAUCCAGCCAUGCCGCGUGAUAGAUGAAGGCCCUCUGGGUUGUAAAUAUCUUUUAUCUGGGAAGAAACACUUCUAUUCUUAGAAGCUUGACGGUACCAGAGGAAUAAGCACCGGCUAACUCCGUGCCAGCCGCCGCGGUAAUACCAGACACG